rnacentral:lncRNA from 1 species
UAGCAAAACAAGGUUGCGGCAAGAUACAAUAAUUCCCCCUGGAACAAUAUCAGGUCUCUCUGAAUUAACUGAAUUAAGCAUUGAUGUUGAUCCAGAUGAUGAACGCUGGAAUGCUACUGUGAAAGCAAUUAUUGAGGAAGCUUGCGACCUGAAAACUUUAUUACAGCUUAAUUUGUACCUGCCAAACAUCGAAAUAUUGUGGAAACGAAGAACAGGUAGCACAUCAUUGCUCCAUUACCCCUUGCCACGUGUCAGAUUUACUGUUGGUUAUCACAAACAGCAGGUCAUAUCUCGAGUACCAGAAGAAGUAGAAGCUUACUUCAAUAAGGGCGACAAAUGCUUGAAGUUUGUCAAAGGCAAGGAUAUCCCAGCUGAAAUGAGAAUGGCAGUCAACCACAGCACAGCAUUUUUCCUGGAAGGUCAUGCUACAGCUAGGAGUUUGUCGGAUUUUGGAAUUGAAAAUACCAGGCAGCUAAAAUUUUGCUUAUUGACUGAAUGUAAUGAAGUCCAAACCAUCAUUGAUUGUGCAGAGUUUCCUGAAGAGCAGACUGAUGCACUUGGAAACCUACAAGACUUGACUAUAUAUUACCUGAAGAAUUUAGUGAGCAUUUGGAGGGGGCCUGUUCAUAAGCACUGCCUAGCUAGCCUGAAGUUCCUUGCACUUCAUAAAUGCCCCAAAUUGAGUAUCAUUUUCUCGCCAGAUUUGGUUGCUAAUCUUGCCAAUUUAGAAGAGCUCAUUGUUGAACACUGCCCUCAACUGACCAGUCUUGUGAGCCUAAUAGGUCAUGCAUCCAGCAACUCAGCACCACAACCAAAUUGCUUUCUUCCAAGCUUGAAAAGAAUAUCACUGCUUUACGUGCCAAAUCUUGUUAGCAUUUCUAGUGGCUUGUGCAUUGCUCCAGAGCUGGAAAAAGUAGGCUUUUACAAUUGCCCGAAGCUUAAGAGUCUUUCUGCGAUGGAAAUUUCAAGUGAAAAUUUGAAGAUGAUCAAAGGAGAAAGUCGCUGGUGGGAAGCAUUGGAGUGGAAGAACUCAGAGUGGGGGAACCGGCUGGAUUAUCUGCAUAGUAUCUUUUCCCCACUUAUUAAGGAGAGAGAUGUGAAGGCGCAAUUGGCCGAGGAGGGAAUUAUGCACCAAGCUUCAACUUAAACAAGGAGAGAGAUGUGAGGGCGCUGGGCAACAGCCAGGUAAUUUCUUUUAAAUUAAGAAGGUGUCCUUUUAUUUGUCAUCCAAGUAGUACAAGUAAAUAAGCAGAUAAUGGGCUUAAUAAUGGAGGAUGAGCAAUUCACGAAAGGCUAAUAUCUGACUCCCCUAACCCCACACCUCCCCACAACCCACCACCCCCCCCCCCCCCCCCCACAAAAAAAAAAAAAAAAANAAAAAAAAAAAAAGAAAAAAAAGAAUCAACAAAAACAGUAAUAAGAACCACUGGGCACUUCUGUUCUUUUGUUUUUUGUCAGAUUUCUCUAUGUUCUUCAGACUAUACUUCUCAUGAUUUAAGUGAUUAGUCUUGGACAAAACUGUAUUUCCAGGAGUCCAAGAGCUAAAUGUGGAACCAUGACAGUUUACAUUGGUGGCUCGGAUUUUGAAUAAAUUGAAGGUCAAAACCUCACACCAACAUGGAUGAUAGUUUAUUUUGUCUGAGUAGGCAGCUGCAGGCGUAGCUUGCCGAUAGUGUAUGCACCUUUUGUUUUUUCCUGAUAUUAAACCUUUUAUUGGAUUUCUGAGAGAUACAUUUCUAACAUGUAUAUCAUCACGUUAAGGGUUCAAUGCCAGAACAUUGGCGGGUAUUUCAAGAAUUAGUUGUUUGCUAUAAUCCCUGUCAAGUUUUAUUCUGAUUAUGUUGAAAUUGUGAUAAAGAGCUUUUGCAUCAUUUUUUGUCCUCUUGCAAUCUCUGUUCUUUGAAUGAAAAAAACUGAAACUCUGUGAGGAUUUUGAACCAAUUGCUUUAUAAAAUUUCAAGCAUAUUGACGUAUCCUCGAAGCAACCUAGAGUUAAAGCAGCAAAUAAAAAUUUGUUUGGGACCUAGAGUUAAGGCAGUGCAAAUUUUAGGCUUAUGUCCAAAGUUUUUCUUUGUGCUAUAGUAAAAGGUAACUAGUAUGAGGAAUCUACAACAUCAUUCAAACCAAAGCAGUGCAAAUCUUUUGUUGUUCUUAAUUAUUCUCAUUACAGCAAUGCAAACUUGAAUAACCAAAGAAACAUUCACCUGAGGCAACAGAAGGAUUGAAGGUGGUCUCUAACCUCACUGUCUCUCCACUGUAGUGCUUCCCACCGUAUUCGUUCUCCUUCUAUUAAUUUUAGCUCUGUUGCAUUGUGUUCACGGAAGGGUAGUGAUUUCACCUCGGGACAUCCAAAUAUCUUAAGCACCUUUAAAUGGGGCCACGCCGAUGACUCAUCCGCAGAUAUAAUUCUUAAUUUCGGCAUGUCAACCAGUUCCAAAGUCUCUAGAUUUGGAAGCUCAGUCAACUUUUCUAUCUCGAAGCAGCUUUCCAUCACCAAUUUUUUGAGUUUUGAGAGCUGUUGAAUCUCCCCGUUGGAAAAUAUCUUUGUCAACAUUGGACAACUCUUUACUACAAUAGUAUGUAGUUUUGACAAGCUUUUUCCUGAAGUGGGGCCUUAGAAAAUACUCUUCAGAAGGAGCAAAUUCCUUAAAUGUAACUGUUCCAAGAUCGUUAGAAUGUCCAUUUCUCCUUCCUUUUCGGCAUCUAUAAUGCUUGUGAUUUUAUUGCAUCGCUCAAUCAGACAACCCCGAACAUGGUUCUGGCUGGCAGCAUUCAUGAAGUCUGAUAGACAUUUGAUGUUGUUGUGACCGAUCAAUUCCAAUGCAUCAGUUUUAGGAAGGACAUCACGAACUGUAGAAUCAUCAUUGCCAGGAUAGCAGUAUCUCAUAUAUCUAUUUACCUUGUAUUCCAAACAAUCAAGAAUCAGAGGGUUGUUGUUUCUUUCACAGCCAACAAAAAACCAAAAUGAGGUUAAUUGUUCGCGAUCCCUCCAUGAUGGCCUGUUUUUAAUUAACAUUUUGAGGAUCUCUGGUCGUGGAAAGCUUACUCUAACAGUAGUUAAAUUCUUCAAGAAAGCCACCUCCUGAACGACUCUUUUUGCAACAUCAAUGCACCAAUGGCCAUAGGAGGUCACAUCAAUCAUCAGUUCCUCCAAUCUUAGAAGUCUUGAAAUCACCUUGUAAUCAAUUUCCAUAUCAGGAUAGUCUUCUGUAUUGCUGCAUUUAUGGUAUGACAUCCGCAAGCACCUCAGGUAAACUAAUUUUCCAAUAACAGGAGGUAUGAAUAUUAUCUUGCAGCCUCUAAUGUCAAGCACCUCAAGAAAACGAAGUUCUGCAACUUGGGGAGGCAACUUUGUUACGUUGGGGCAAUCAUUUAAGAAAAGUGCCUUAAGUCUAAUCAACUUUGAUACAGACGACGGUAGUGAUGCAAUUCCUGUUUGGUACAAGUCCAAAACAAGGAGCUUCUGCAUGUUCUUAAAAAAUGAUGGUGGAAUUGUGACCAAAUCGGGGUUUUUUUGUAGUAAUAGAGACAAAAGUUUGUUGCAGUUUGGACUUUCUGGCAAGUCAUGCAGUUUUCCUUUAAUCAUAGAGAUCUUUUUUGCCUGUUGCCAAUCUUUCAGCCUGUGGGUAUAAGGUUAAGCUUCACCUUUUGGAGCAAAAAAUUUGCAAUCAGGGUCUUGUGAGGAAAUGUAAAAGGCAAAUUGUCUGACACUAUUGUUCACUUGAACAUAAAUCAUUCUUUCACCUUUCUCUCGCAAUGACACAUUGCCACAUUGGUUAGAUGUCCCAAUAUGUCAUAUCCUUUAUCUCUUGCAUCCCGAAGACUCCUCCCGUCAUCAAUAUUGCCAAGAAGUCCUUCAGCCGCCCAACACUCCAGUAAAUAAUCUGUAUAUAUCUUGCUAUCAGCUGGAUAUAAUGCACCAUACAGAAAGCAUUUCUUUUUCUUCUCAUCCUUCAGCUCGUCAUAACAAAACUUGAGUGCUGCAUACAUUUUUGUUAAACCUGGGAUCUCAAUUUUUGGCCAUUUUUCAAGUUCGCUCAAUCCAUUUCUCCAUUCAGAAUCACUGUCCUUUAAUUUGAAGGAACUUGCCACUGUUCUGAUCACAAGUGGGAGUCGAUCACACUCAUCAACUACCAGCCGAGCAACUGGUUCAACAUCAGGGAGAUCGAUUUUCUCAACUGCUAUCUGUUGAAACAUUCUCCAUGCCUCAUCUGAAGAUAAUUUAUCCAUUUUGACCAUUCUAUCUGUCAUUGGCGAACAAACAUGACGAAAUUCAGUAGUCAAUACCACUUUGCUACCAUUACCAUAUCUGAGAUUCCAAUCUGCUGCAAAUCAAUGGAGUCCAUGACCUCAUUCAGAAGCAGCAAAUACUUCUUAUGCUUCAUAUAUUCUGAUAUGAUCCUCGCAAGUUCACCAGAGCACGUAGCACGUUCCGCCUUCAGUUUAAGUCGCUGUGCAAUGUUCAGUUGCAGUUUCUCAUCAUUCCUCUCCCUUGAAACAUUUAUCCAAAUGACUACAUCAAACAUUUUGGCAACUUCUUCAUGGUUAUUCAAGUUCUUCAGUAUUGUUGUUUUCCCAACUCCCUCUGUGCCAAAAAUUUCGAUUUCUUUUAGUUUAUCGCUUCUUAGCAACUCUAGUAUUUCUUGUAAUGAUCUUUGAAGGGUGGCAAAUCCUUCAAGGUCUGGUGCAUUCAACUUCACAGUUUUUUCUGGAGGCUUCUCUACCAAAAAUCCUCUUUUAAAUGCUCCCUCUUUCACAAGUUUCUCAACUUUCUUGCACAUAGUAAUGACCUUGUCACUAUAAUUUUUUUUUUUAAGAUUAAAAGUAUUUCCAUUAAAUCAGGGUGAAAUCCCCGAUGUACACAAAAUGGAAAGGACUAGGAGAGACUUGGUCCAGGUGCCCUUCCUGAAGCUUGGCAUACAAAAAAGCCAGCUGAAAACAAAAUGCUAUACAACUACAAAAUUUGAUAUAAGCAAGACUCAAAGAAGUUACAGCCACCCUUAACAGCCAAAAAGGGCGAAGGGAGAGCAAGAGUGAGAAACAUGGCCAUUUUGGAUGUUUCUCCCUCUUGCAAAUCCAUACUCAAGCAAAACAACCCAAAAAGCUAUUGGCCUUAUUAUGCAAAAAGUGAUCUGCACCAGCAACAUAGCAGUAAACACAGUCAAAAGCAUGCCCAAUCACUCAAGCAGUUAUGGAAACACACAUAGCAGAUCAUGUCACUAUAAUCUGACAGCCACAUAGAAAGUGAGGACCCUUCCGUUUCAUACUCAGCUUGUAAAUUUUCCACUUUCUUUUAGAGUCUUCACAACUUCAGUAGGCCACGUGUUGUAGCUUAUGGAAGUUGUUUUUGUUCCGUAUUGUUCCACUGUCCUCUCAUUGUCGUUCCUUUUUGCCUUGAGCUUUGCUGCAGCAGUUUUCAACAUGCUGAUAUUAUCAUUAUGCUAUUCCAUGAACUACGCUUCCCCACAGCGUAGUCCAAAACUCCUUUUACCCCAUCUUUUACCAAAUCAUUUAGCAAUUCAGCCAUUAUAACUUCGACGCUGCAACUGGCAUUCAAAUUAAAAAAAAAUCAGAUUUUUUUGUAAUUGUAACCAAAUCAGAUGUCUGCUUAUAUUUAAACUGUUUGGAGGGAAAAAAUAUACAAGUCAGAUUCUGUAAUUUGUUCUUUUCUUAUUUUUUCGUAUUUGUUUAAUUGCUAGUCCAGUUAAAAUAAUGGAUACCAACUGUUUGAAGAAAGUUCUGCAGAUAAUGGGUCUGUCUAUUCUCUUAUUUUUUUUUAUCUUUGUAACAAGAUGUUGUUUCCUUUUCUUUUGGAUAAAUAAAACUUUUACUUAGAAAAAAAAAAAUCAAGUGCAAGCUCAACACCAGCAAUUGUUAAACUCCAAAUAAGCUGAUCAUCUCACCAUAACUUGCCAAUCUACCUUUCUCAAUGCACUAAGACGUUGUGAAGACAUCAAUCCCACUAAGGUAAAUAAUAGUUAAAAUCUCAUUUAUUUUCUGAAAAAGAAAAUAAACACUUCUGUUUAUUUAAAAUUUUUUUUUUAUUAAUUCUCAACUUAGAUGUGUCUAAUAAUUAACUUAAUAGGAUUUUAUAUAACUAUUCGUAAGGAAGAGAGCUUUUUACUUUUUUUAUGUAAGAUUAUUAUAUUUUUUAAAUAAAUUAAAUAAGAAAGUAAUUUAAUUUAAACUUAUUUAUAAUACAAAUAAAGUAAAAGAUAAUUAAAAAAAGAUAAUAAUAGAAAUAAUCUUUCAUAACUUAACACGCAAGUAACUUAAUAUCAUAGUUAUAUGUUUAGUAUAUUUAGUUGAAUGUUACAGUAAAAUAGUUGAAUGAAAUAUUCAAUUCAAUCUUUGUAUAUUUAGUAGCAAAAAUACUUUCUUUUUAGGAAUCAAUUUCUGUAGUUUCAUGUUUUAUGGAAUUUUGCCAUUUCAUUUCCUUUUGCUUUUUGCCUCAAAUUAUGUCAAAAUCAAAGAGGACAAAAUUUUGAUUUGGAGAGAGUCGAGGAUUAUAUCUGGUUGGAAUUUACAUCAAUUUGAUAGUUUGGGGGCGAGCUUGCUUAUACCUGUACGACUAGGAAAAGCAUCAAUAGCACCUGUUAAAAACUAAAAUCAAACACAAAGUCCAACAAUAUGUCCUUGGCUAAAAAAAUAUUGAGGAAUCUCCAAAUCCAACAGCUGUUAACACUACGAAGCUACAACAUCCACUCAAACUAAAGCAGUUAAAAUCUUAUGUUGUUCUUAAUUGUUAUCAUUACAACAGUGCAAACUAGAAUAACCAGAAGAAACAUUCACCUGAGGCUGCAGAAGGAUUGAAGGUGGGUUUCUAACCUCACUGUCUUGCCACUACAAUGCUUCCCACCAUAUUUGUUCUCCUUCUAUUAAUUUUAGCUCUGUUGCAUUGUUUUUACUGAAAGGUAGUGAUUUCACCUUGGGACAUCCAAAUAUCUUAAGCACCUUUAACUGGGGCCAUGCCAAUCACUCAUCCGCAGAUAUAGUUCUUAAUUUCGGCAUGUCAACCAGUUCCAAAAUCUCUAGACUUGGAAGCUCAAUCAACUUUUCUAUCUAGAAGCAACUUUCCAUUACCAAUUUUUUGAGUUUUGAGAGCUGUUGAAUCACCCCAUUGGAAAAUAGCUUUGUCAACAUUGGACAAUACUUCACUACAAUAGGAUGUAGUUUUGACAAGCUUUUUCCUGAAAUGGGGCCUUCGAAAAUACUAUUCAGAAGGAGCAAAUUCCUUAAAUGUAACUGUUCCAAGAUCGGUAGAAUGUCUAUUUCUCCUUCCCUUUCGGCAUCUAUAAUACUUGUGAUUUUAUCGCAUCUCUCAAUCAGACAACUGCGAACAUGGUUCAGGCUGGCAACAUUCAUGAAGUCUGAUAGACAUUUGAUGUUGUUGUGACCGAUCAAUUCCAAUGCAUCAGUUUUAGGAAGGACAUCAUGAACUGUAGAAUCAUCAUUGCCAGUAUAGCAGUAUCGCAUAUAUCUAUUUACCUUGUAUUCCAAACAGUCAAGAAUCAGAGGGUUGUUUUCGCUUUCACAGCCAACAAAAAACCAAAAUGAGGUUAAUUGUUCGUGAUCCCUCCAUGAUGGCCUGUUUUAAUUUCUGAAGUGAUCAGGCUAAGAUUUUGCAGCCAAAAUACUCCUGUUUCUUUUUAGAAAAAUUGAUUGAUUUCUUUAUGUAAUGGUUCUGUCUAUUCUCCUAUUUUUGUAUCUUUGUAACAGGAUUUUUUCCUUUUCUUUUGGAUAAAUAACACUUUUUACUUCAAAAAAAAAAAAAAAAAAACAGCUGCGUGCUGAACACCGGGAAUUGUUAAACUCCAAAUAAGCUGAUCAUCUCAUCAUAACUUGCCAAUCUACCUUUCUCAAUGCACCAUUCAAUGCUAACUACAUUAUCUAGAGGAGGGUUCAAAGCUUCAUGCAUAAACCCGAAAUCUUACCAAGAAAAGGGAAGUAGAAAUGGCUCUCCAGAUUCAUUCCAACCCUCACAAUCCAAUUAUAUUUGUUCCAACAUUUGAAAACACAUAUAUCAAAUUUUUAACCUUUUAUUUGCUGUCGACUUCAAGUCAUGAAAAGAGCUUCAUGCAACAAUCUGUGGGCCUAUACUCUUAUGUGUUUUUUGUGUCUUGUUUCUGGUGGGGUGUUGUGCUGGUUGUAAAAGGGUCUGUUAUGAACUGGGUCUUUGGGGAGCUCUGCUUGUAUCUGGGCAGGGGAGAAACAGGGUUAUUUUUCUGUUUCAAGAUUCUGAGUAUACAGGGUGUGGAUGUUGUAAGGAAGAAAUAUCUGUUGUGUUCCUUGGGUUGCUGUGAGCAGACAAGGAGAAGAGGGACUCCCCUCAUCUAGAGGGGAGGUUCUUCCCUUGACUCUUUUUGUAAUUAAUAAAAUUCAAUGGGUUUACUUGAGAGUUUCAAACUAGUUGAACGAAAGAAGAAAAAUCUAGCUAAGGUUCAAAGAUCAAAACACAAUCAAUCAACUUUGAUUGAAACGACAAAUACAUAAACUACUUGGUCUUGUACUGUCCCGAAGCAUUCUCAAAAGCAGCCGACAAAGAUCUAUGUUUCAAACUAUAUUUUGAUGAAUUGUGUAAUCUACUAACAGAAAACUUACAUAUGUCUACUCGCAGAUGAUGGACCGUUGACUCAGGAGAUGCAAGAGAUUUUUUGGCUCUAAUCUGGAAUGCCCAUACACCACUUGAAUCUCAUGACUCACUUUUCAUGUCUUUGUAAAUAGAUAGAUUAUUAUCUUUGCUAUAUAUAAUGAAAGAACUUGUUAUUACAUAUUCUUAAAUGUUAUCUUGUGAUCAACAAUUGUAUGCCAUGAAAUUGAAAAUGACACUACUGUCCAAAAUGAUGUAGCCAAAGUCUGGCUCUAAAAUGUCAUUUGUGAUUUGCCUUGGCAAGUGUAUUUUUUUUUAAAAAGAGAGAAUUUAAAUUCUACUUUUGUUUCUUCGAUGAUUAAAAUAUUGGGUAGAAAACCGUGAAUGAUUAAAGUAUGGACAAGUGACAAUGGCGUGCGGACAAAAGUUUGGUUUUCCCUAGUUCAAAGAACAUAUGGGCGCGUAUGCAACUUGCUCUUCAUUGUUUAAUUUGACUAAAUUCAUGGAGCAGAUCUUGGGAGUGAGCGGGCGGCUCUCGCUUCUUCUCACAUGAAGUUUGAAAGCUUUUAACAAGCCUACCGGAGUGUGGAGAGUCCAUGGCAGAUAGGCUAUGAAUGAGAUGGGAAUUAACCAUGGGGGGUUGAUGCUCAGCAUUUAACAGGUUGGUACCCGAAUCCCCUACAUAUGCAAGCCAGAUUGGUCCUUUUUGUUGGAUGAAUCAUCCUCCCAGGGAUUAGAUUUUUAUAUUUGAGACGUAAUUUUUAUGCAAAGAAGACUAAUAAGAUUUAAUUACACAGGUGGAGCACUUGAUUUCCCUAGUUUUACUACAUUUGGAAGCUCUCGUCCUCCAUUCAUUGAUUACUAGUGAAUUGUUAACCGGCAUUAGGGAAGUAAAAACCAUCUGCCGAACUCAUAUCAAGGUAUAGCUGGACACAGUAAGAGUACCAUUUCAAGUUUAACUGAGCCUGGAAAUUGUUAACUCUGAGCGUUCAACUAUAAAUUGGAUACGACAAACUUGUCCUGCUAAUUCUUUCAUUUUCCAACCCUUACGGACUUUUUAUUUUAAUUUGAUAACUUAUUCUCGAUUCCUGGUGCAAAUUACUACAUGCUUUCAGCUUCGAGUUCACUAAUUUUCUAUUCUUAGAUGCCAAUGUCCUGCUACUUUUUGGCUUGUAUUCAAUCACACUUGCUGGACGAAACAUUAUCUCCUAUUGUCGAGAUUUUAUGGUAGUACAUCUAAUUCUUUCUUUCUUUUUUUCCAAUAGAGACAUGGAGAGCUGGGAACGUAAGAAUGUUAGAAAUGAACUAAGACAAGGGAGGAAGCUAGCAAAGCAGCUCCAAGCAAAUCUCAAACGGUCAUCUUCCGAAGAAAAUCCUGAGUUAGUCCAAAAGAUCGUAUCGUCCUUUGAAAAGGCACUUUCAAUGCUUAACUGCAGCACCUCCUCUAUGGCAGCCAAGCUGCAGCCCAUAGCUCACAGCUCGCUUGCUCGUGAUGGAAGUCACCAGAGUAAGGACCCUGACCAUGAUAUCAAGGAGCAAGACUUCAAAGUUAAAGAUUUCUUCAUGAAAAGGUACAUGUAGACAUAUGGGAAAUUUAUGAUGACAUAAAAUGGAAACCUAAACCAAUUUAUGCUUAAUUGCAGAGAAGUAACUGAGUCACAGCCUAAAGGACUUGCAACUGAAAUGUUUAAAUUCCCGCCUCCUUUCAGUGGAAGCUUCUCAAGUGCGGGAAAUUUGGAAGCCUUUGACGGGUAUGUAUCCUCUCCUUUUUAUGAAAGCUUCCUCGAUACGGACUCUGACAAUGGAUUCAAGGAGCAGGGGUUCAAAGUCAACUACGAUGUCAAUAAAAGCUAUUUUCUCUGUCUCUUUUUUUUAUCUAAUUUUUCAAAUGUUAUAUAAUAUUAUUUAUAUUCUUAAUUUAUUUUUCGUAAUUUUUUUAUUUUUUAUAUUAAAAAAUAUUAAAUAUUUAUUUUAUAAUUUUUUAAAAUUUAAUAUAAAAUAUUUGAAAAUCAAAACUUUAAUUUUAAUUUUCAUGAAAAGAGUACUUGGAAAGAGUACUUAAGAUGAUCUAUAAAGGGGAAAACUAAACCAAUUUAUGCUUGAGUGCAGUAAGGCAGCCGAAUUAAAGCCAACAAUAAUUGGGACCGAAUUUGACCAUGAUUUCAUGGAGGAGCAUGAGCUCAAAGUCAAUGAAACCUUCAAUAAAAGGUAUACUAUAUAUAUAUAUUUCUGGGUAAUUUGUGAUGAUAAUUAAAGGGAAAUCUGAACCAAUAAUUUAUGGUCAAUGAAAUAGUUGCAGUGUGAAAGAUGAGUCAAAGCCUGCAGGACAUGCAAAAGUAAUGUUUAAGUCCUUGUCUGACUAUAACUUGGAGAAGAAAAAGCACACCGUCGGCGAUGCUUCCAAGAAAAGGUAUGUAUAACAGGAAUAUGGGCAAGUUAUGAUGAUAUAAAAGGGGAAACUAAACGGAUUUUCUGCUGAACUAUAGUGCUGCAGGUGAGUCACAACCCACAGAAGUUGAGUUUAAAAAGCCCAAAUCCUCGCAUUCUCUUGGCGAAAGCCUCCCAAGUAAGGACUCUGACUAUAAUUUCAAGGAGCAGGAGCUCAAAAUCAAUGAGGGCUCCGGCAAAAGGUAUAUAUAAGAGCAUAUGAGCAAUUUAUCAUAAUACAUUGCCAACUAAUCCAAAAAAUUAAAAAAAAGAAUUUACAUUGAAAAAAGAAGGCCUCAAUUAAUGUUAUAUCUUUAAUUGGUUUGAACAAAACAUUUCCAUGUUGCAGGAACGCUAGGCGGAGCUGGACAGUAUUGGUUCACUCUGAUAUGGUCCUAGGGGAACUUCCUUCUGAUGGUUGCAAUUGGAGGAAAUAUGGACAGAAGGAUAUUCUUAAUGCAAGAUUUCCAAGGUAGAGACAUUUUCCUCUUUUAGUGCAUAUUAUUAAAAACAAGAUGCAAUUGAUGCGUUAAUUAAGGCUCAGAUCGCUCCGUUUAGAUGUUAUUUUUUCUGCUUUUUUUUUUCUUGAUAAAGCCAUUAAGUGUCUGUUUAUUUAGGGUUAUAGGUUAAUCAGUUUAUUCUUUUUAGAGUUAAAGUUCACACUUUCCUUUUUUGGUAUAUGGAGAAGAUAUUUCUUCCUUCCUUAUCAUGUCUUUCUUGAAGCCAUUUUCGUAUAUCCCUUCAGAAUGCAUUGCUUUAGAGUGACACUUGAGACCUUCAGUAAAAAAAAAAAAAUUGCUGAAACAUUAUCACAUAGAAUCAAUGUAGGCCAAAAACCAACUCUAUGUGGACAGCUUAAACUGGACUUUUACUCCUCUGCAGUUCCAUUAUUAUCUGUUCCGAACAAAAGAUGUUUUAUCGGUAUGAGCAUUCUUGACUGCACGCUAGUGCAGGACCUUGGUGCCUAACCAAUGGCAUGAUUUAAUAUUUUUUUUUCUGGACUUAAUGUAGAAUAACUGUUCUAGACAAUUGUGGAUAUUUGAUAAUAACUCCCAUUUCCUAAAGAGCUAGCGUCCCAAAGACAUGCCAUGUACAUGUAUUUCAUAUAUCCUAUUUGUGAUGAAACAAAUUUAAAAAUUCACUGAGCUUUAAACUUGAAAUAACCUUUCUUUUCUUUCUUACAGAGAAUACUACAGGUGCGCACAUCGACACACUCAAGGCUGUUUUGCUACAAAGGAAGUCCAAAGAGAGGAUGAAGAUCCAAUGUUCAUCACUGCUACUUACAAAGGAAUGCACACUUGCACACUAGCCCCAGAUUUGAUGCCUCCAGGACCACCUGAGAUACUAGCUGUACAGAACCUACUCUUUAUCACGUUCCAUUUAGAUUAAGGUCUUUCUUAUAGAUAGAAUAAAUUAAUUUAGAUUCUGAUAUUCUAGUGAAAUAAGUACUUUUCAUGUAUAUUUGCAGCCUUUGGAUACUGUACUUGGCGCCGAUGGAAAUGACAAAAAGGAUUCACAAUCUAAUCUUCAGUCAAGUGUACACAGUCCUGACAAUCAAACUUGCAUUUCGUCAACCAAGCUAACAAGUGAGCUUCCAAAUUUAGGGCUCAACCUGAAUGUGUUUCCUGAGAAAUCAUUUAAGUCAUAUCCAACGUGGAAAAACUUUUAUGAAAAUGAAGUGAGGAAGAAUUGGAAAGUGCUGAACAGGAAGAAGGAUGUGCUACUCUUACUUUCAUCUUAUCCUAUGAUUAUGAUUGACAAAUCUGACACAGAUAAAUGGAUUAUUGAUGUAUUGGCAACCAUGAGACAUGUGAAAUCAACAGAAAAGAUUUUAUUUGGUGUAGGGGUAGCGAAACAUUGGCCAGGAAUGACUACGCUGCAGGAACUUUCUGGACGCUUGCAGAAGUUGCUGGAUGUUCCCUUGAUGAAUGAUAUUGAGGGAGUUUUACCGGUAGACUUGGUUGAGAACCUAUAUAGGACUACAGAAGCUGAUUUAAGACCCCUGUUGGAAGUGGAACAGAAUAUAAUUAGCGGAAAGACAUCAAAAUCUAGAGGUUCAGCAAGUAACAGUGAAGGGGCAGCAAUGGAAGCAGAAAAAGAAUUGCAGCCAAUGCCUGCAAAAUGUAAAACUCUGGUAGAAGAUACUGAGUUGCCAGCAAAAGGAACACUGAAUGUACCAGAAGAAAUAUUUGACUUGGCAAUUUAUUUAGCUGUUCGUCAGAUCUUAAAAUGUAUAAACAGGGGAUAUAUCUGGUGUAUUACUAUCAGUGGAAGAGAUAAGAAAAGGGUGCUAGGAGCAGUAAAGCAACACCAAGAUAUAGUUUCCGAGUUUGGAUAUAUCAUUGUAUUCACUGUGUCAGAAGAUCAAAGUGGGGCAAAUGUUCACGGUGUCUUUCAACUGCAGAAGGGUUUUUGGCUAGGUGGAUGCUUUGAUUCUGUUGACCUUACACAUGAAUAUUUUGACAACUUGUGCUCCCCAGGAAUCUUAUUGCUUACAGAGGAUGAUUACGAUAAGAACAUGAACUUGGAUCAGUCUACACUCCCACUUUUGAUAAACCUUAACAAGUUGGUUGACCAUAAACAUAGCGAUUCAAGGUUCAUAAUCUUUACUUCUAAAAUGGCAACAGACAUGGAGAUAAGAAUGGAGGAUCAUUUGUUGUCAUGGAAAUUGUUUUGUAGGAUUGUGGGUGAAGGUUUGCUUUCUCCUAGUAUCCAACAGAUAGCAGCAAGUUUGGUGAAAGAAUACCGUGGCAAUCUACUCGCCAUCAUUCUAACGGCCAGGUCCUUGGAGAAAGUUACUGAUGAUGUCAACUUGUGGGAACUUGCUGUUAAAAGAUUGACCAUGCUACCUCCAUCUCAAAUAGAAGAUAUAGACAAUGUCCUGAUUAAUGCAUUAACAUUCAUUUGGGAACGUAUGAACAAUAAAACAAGACAUUGCAUUAAGUUUUUCACGUGGUAUCCCAAGGGACAGAAAAUUAACAGAGUCUCACUAAUACAACAUUGGAUCCAAGAUCGUCUGGUUGAUACCCAUGAUGAAGGUACCAAUAUUAUCCAAAAUCUUGUUGAUACAUCCCUGCUUAAUAUUGUGGAGUUAAAUGGGGUCCAACUGCGAAGAGAGAUCUAUGAUGUAUUAGUAAACCCACUAAUUCUUCAAAUGCAUCCAUUUUAUCUUUUGCUAGGCAGGGCAAGAUUGAUUAAACCACCAGAAGAAGAGGAAUGGGAUGCCAAAGUGAUCAAUUUGAUGGAUAAUAAAUUAUCUGACCUGCCAGAAUCUCCAAGGUCACCCUCACUAAUUGCAUUGUACCUUCAGCGUAACUUGGAUCUCAUGACUAUCCCAUCUUGUUUCUUCAAGCACAUGCCUUUGCUUCAAAUCCUAGACUUAUCACACACCAGCAUCAAAUCUUUGCCAGAGUCACUUUCUAGUUUGGUUAACCUUCGAGAACUCCUUUUGAAAGGCUGUGAACUCUUCAUACGACUCCCUAGCCAUGUUGGAGAACUGAAGAAUCUUGAGAAGCUUGACCUUGAUGAAACUCAGAUUAUUGAUCUCCCAGCAGAGAUUGGACAACUUUCCAAAUUAAAAAUUUUGAGGGUCUCAUUCUAUGGAUAUAUGAACUGUAGCAAAACAAGGUUGCGGCAAGAUACAAUAAUUCCCCCUGGAACAAUAUCAGGUCUCUCUGAAUUAACUGAAUUAAGCAUUGAUGUUGAUCCGGAUGAUGAACGCUGGAAUGCAACGGUGAAAGAUAUUAUUGAGGAAGCUUGCAACUUGAAAACUUUAAGACAGCUUAAUUUGUACCUGCCAAACAUCGAAAUAUUGUGGAAACGCAGAACCGGUAGCGCAUCAUUGCUCCAUUACCCUUUGCCACGUUUUAGAUUUACUGUCGGUUAUCACAAGCGGCAGGUCAUAUCUCGAGUACCGGAAGAAGUAGAAGCUCACUUCAAUAAAAGCAACAAAUGCUUGAAGUUUGUCAAAGGCAAUGAUAUCCCAGCUGAAAUGAAAAAGGUUCUGAACCACAGCACAGCUUUUUUCCUGGAAGGUCAUGCUACCGCUAGGAGUUUGUCUGAUUUCGGAAUUGAGAAUACCAGGCUGCUAAAAUGUUGCUUAUUGACAGAAUGUAAUGGAGUCAAAACCAUCAUUGAUUUGUCACAAGGUGGUGGACACUCACAAGUUUACACAAGAGGAAAAGGGAAGAGCGAGUCACUGAGUAUGUGAUAGGACUUCCUUCAAAUGAUUUUUUUUUCCUCUUCUUGUUAUCAUUUCGUUUCAUUACAUAGGUAUUUAUACUACUCAAUAGAUGAUUCUAGACUCAAACAUUAAAUUUAAAACAUUCAUUUAGAUUUACGAAUAAUUAGGUUCAUGAAUACCUUCAUAAAUAGUAAUGUUCAUCUAGCUUCAUGAAUAAUUAGGUUCAUGAAUUCAUAUUAACUUUAAGUUUAAUAUCCAACAACUGAGCAAAAAAAAGUUUAAUAUCCAACAUGAUUGUGCAGAGUUUCCUGAAGAACAAACUGAUGCACUUGGAAAUCUACAAGACUUGAAUAUAUAUUACAUGAAGAAUUUAGAGAGCAUUUGGAAGGGGCCUGUUCAUAAGCACUGCCUAGCUAGCCUGAAGUUCCUUGCACUUCAUAAAUGCCCCAGAUUGAGUACCAUUUUCUCACUAGAUUUGGUUGCUAAUCUUGACAAUUUAGAAGAGCUCAUUGUUGAACACUGCCCUCAACUGACCAGUCUUGUGAGCCCGACGGGUCAUGUGUCCAGUAACUCAACACCACAACCAAAUUGCUUUUUUCCUAGCUUGAAAAGAAUAUCACUGCUUUACGUGCCAAAUCUUGUUAGCAUUUCUAGUGGUUUGUGGAUUGCUCCAGAACUGGAAAAAGUAGGCUUUUACAAUUGCCCAAAGCUUAAGAGUCUUUCCGCGAUGGAAAUGUCAAGUGACCAUUUGACGAGGAUCAAAGGAGAAAGUCACUGGUGGGAAGCAUUGGAGUGGAAAAACUCAGAGUGGGGGAACCCGCUGGAUUAUCUGCAGAGUAUCUUUUCCCCACUUAUUAAGGAGAGAGAUGUGAAGGCGCAAUUGGCAGAAGAAGGAAUUAUGCACCAUGCUUCAACUUAAACAAGGAGAGAGAUGUAAGGGCGCUGGGCAACAGCCAGGUAAUUUCUUUUGAAUUAAGAAGGUGUCCUUUUAUUUGUCAUCCAAAUAGUACAAGUAAAUAAGCAGAUAAUGGGCUUAAUAAUGAAGGAUGAGCAAUUCAGGAAGGGCUAAUAUCUGAUUCCCCUCACCCCCCACCAAAAAAAGGAUCAGCAAAAACAAUAAUAAGAACUACUGGGCACCUCUGUUCUUUUGUUUUUUGUCAGAGUUCUCUAUGUUCUUUAGACUAUACUUCUCAUGAUAUAAGUGAUUGGUCUUGGACAAAACUGUACUUCCAGGGCUCCAAGAGCUAAAUGUGGAACCAUGACAGCUUACGUUGGUGGCUCGGAUUUUGAAUAAAUUGAAGGUCACAGCCUAACACCAAACGGGUGAUAGUUUGUUUUGUCUGAGUAGGCAUCUGCAUGAGUAGCUUGCCGAUAGUGUAUGCACCUUUUGUUUUUUUAUGAUAUUAAACCUUGUAUUUGAUUUCUGAGAGAUACAUUUCUAACAUGGAUAUCAUCACGCCGAGGGUUCAAUGCCAGAACAUUGGCGGGUAUAUCAAGAAUUAGUUGUUUGCUAUAAUCCCUGUCAAGUUUUAUUCUGAUUAUGUUGAAAUUGUGAUAAAAGAGCUUUUGCUUCAUUUUUUGUUCUCUUGCAGUCUCUGUUCAUUGAUUGAAAACUGAAACUCUGUGAAGAUUUUGAACCAAUUGCUUUAUUAAAUUUCAGGCAUAUUGACGUAUCCUGGAAGUAACCUAGAGUUAAAGCAGCAAAUAAAAAUUUUUUGGGACCUAGAGUUAAGGCAGUGCGAAUUGUAGGCAUAUGUCCAAAGUUUUUCUUUGUGCUAUAGUAAAAGGUAACUAGUAUGAGGAAUCUACAACAUUUAUUCAAACUAAAGCAGUGCAAAUCUUAUGUUGUUCUUAAUUAUUCUCAUUACAGCAGUGCAAACUUGAAUAACCAAAGAAACAUUCACCUGAGGCAACAGCAGGAUUGAAGGUGGUCUCUAACCUCACUGUCUCUCCACUGUAGUGCUUCCCACCAUUUUCGUUUUCCUUCUAUUAAUUUUAGCUCUGUUGCAUUAUGUUCACUGAAAGGUAGUGAUUUCACCUCGGGACAUCCAAAUAUCUUAAGCACCUUUAAAUAGGGCCAUGCCGAUGACUCAUCCGCAGAUAUAAUUCUUAAUUUCGGCAUGUCAACCAGUUCCAAAAUCUCUAGAGUUGGAAGCUCAGUCAAGUUUUCUAUCUCGAAGUAGCUUUCCAUCACCAAUUUUUUGAGUUUUGAGAGCUGUUGAAUCACCCGUUUGGAAAAUAUCUUUGUCAACAUUGGACAACUCUUUACUACAAUAGUGUGCUGUUUUGACAAGCUUUUUCCUGAAGUGGGGCCUUCGAAAAUACUCUUCUUAAGGAGCAAAUUCCUUAAAUGUAACUAUUCCAAGAUCGGUAGAAUGUCCAUUUCUCCUUCCCUUGCGGCAUCUAUAAUGCUUGUGAUUUUUUUUUUUUGAAUAAUAACGACUAUUAUUAGCUAGGUCUGGAAAAUGAAUACAACCCUGAAGGAAGAACAAGACAACAAGGUAACAAGGGAAACAGAGAUUUGCCUGAUAGAUCUCUGUUUCUCAUAGUACCCAAUCCAAGACUCAAUCCCCUGAGUAAUCGGAGCAUCAUUCAAAACAAAAGAACAACCAAGCUCCUUGAGAAAAUAAAAAGUGAUGUACACUCCCCUGACAAAAAGAACACAACCUCCCUUAUUCUAGACAGCAGAACCCCAGAACCUCUUCCCAGACUCCAGCCCUCUAAGAUGAGAAAGGAGAAGAAACAAAGGGGGGCACAGAUUCAUGACAAUGCUCACAUAGCAUCAAAGUUCUGCCUAACAUCAACCUGCCUCACCAUCAAUUUAAAACAUACACAAUGUUCCAGAGCCAAAAUUCGCUGCAUUUUUGGCGAGUAUAUCAGCCUCCUGGUUUGCUUCCCGCAGAGUGUGAGUUAUCUUCCAAGGCCCUAGCUGUUCCUCAAUCAUUUCAAUUAAAAUAACCCAUAUGCUUGUGAUUUUAUUGCAUCGCUCAAUCAGACAACCGCGAACAUGGUUCAGGCUGGCAACAUUCAUGAAGUCUGUUAGACAUUUGAUGUUGUUGUGACAGAUCAAUUCCAAUGCAUCAGUUUUAGGAAGGACAUCACGAACUGUAGAAUCAUCAUUGCCAGGACAGCAGUAUCUCAUAUAUCUAUUUACAUUGUAUUCCAAACAGUGAAGAAUCCAAGGGUUGUUGUCGCUUUCACAGCCAACCAAAAACCAAAAUGAGGUUAAUUGUUCGCGAUCCCUCCAUGAUGGCCUGUUUUCAAUUAACAUUUUGAGGAUCUUUGAUCGCGGAAAGCUUAUUCUAAGAGUAGUUAAAUUCUUCAAGAAAGCCACUUCCUGAAUGACUCUUUUUGCAACAUCAAUGCACCAAUGCCCAUAGGAGGUCACAUCAAUCAUCAGUUCCUCCAGUCUUAGAAGUCUUGAAAUCACCUUGUAAUCAAUUUCCAUAUCAUGACAAUCUUCUAUAUUGCUGCAUUUAUGGUAUGACAUCCGCAAGCACCUUACGUCAACUAAUUUUCCAAUAAGAUGAGGUAUGAAUAUUAUCUUGCGCAGCCUUUAAUGUCAAGCACCUCAAGAAAAUGAAGUUCUGCAACUUAGGGAGGCAACUUUGUUACGCUGGGGCAAUCAUUUAAGAAAAGUGCCUUAAGUCUAAUCAACUUUGAUACAGAUGACGACAGUCAUUGAAUUCGUGUUUGGUACAAGUCCAAAACUAGGAGCGUCUGCAUGUUCUUAAAAAAUGAUGGUGGAAUUGCGACCAAAUCGGGGUUUUUUUGUAGUAAUAGAGACAAAAGUUGGUUGCAGUUUGGACUUGCUGGCAAGUCAUUCAGUUUUCCUUCAAUCAUGGAGAUCCUUUUUGCCUGUUGCCAAUCUUUCAGCCUUUGGGUAUAAGGUGAAGUUUCACCUUUUGGAGCAAAAAAUUUGCAAUCAGGGUCUUGUGAGGAAACGUACAAGGCCAAUUGUCUGACACUAUUGUUCACUUGAACAUAAAUCAUUCUUUCACCUUUCUCUAGCAAUGGCACAUUGGUUAGAUGUCCCAAUAUGUCAUAUCCUUUAUCUCUUGCAUCCCGAAGACUCCUCCUGUCAUCAAUAUUGCCAAGAAGUCCUUCAGCCGCCCAACACUCCAGUAAUAAUCUGUAUAUAUCUUGCUAUCAGCUGGAUAUAAUGCACCAUAUAGAAAGCAUUUCUUUUUCUUCUCAACCUUCAGCUCGUCAUAACAAAACUUGAGUGCUGCAGACAUUUUUGUUAAACCUGGGAUCUCAAUUGUUGGCCAUUUUUCAAGUUCGCUCAAUUCAUUUCUCCAUUCAGAAUCACUGUCCUUUAAUUUGAAGGAACUUGCUACUGUUCUGAUCACAAGUGGGAGUCGAUCACACUCUUCAACUACCAGCCGAGCAACUGGUUCAACAUCAGGGAGAUCGAUUUUCUCAGCUGCUAUCUGUUGAAACAUCCUCCAUGCCUCAUCUGAAGAUAAUUUAUCCAUUUUGACCAUUCUAUCUGUCAUUGACGAACAAACAUGACGGAAUUCAGUAGUCAAUACCACUUUGCUACCAUUACCAUUGUAAUACCCCUCACAAAGUAUUUAUUAAAAAAAAAAUUAAAUUAAAAUUAUUAAGCUAUAGUUUUAUAAAGAUAAUAAGUAGAUAUUAUUUUAGUAUUUUAUUUAUUUACAAUUAUGACCUUGGGUGUCUUAAUAAAUAAAAAAAAAUAGAAAAAAUGGUCUUUAAGUAAAAGAAGAAGUUUAAUUAAGUCAGUUUUAUUAUCACGUUUAAGUUAGUGGAGUUAAGGGUCAGUUUUUUUAUCCCAUUUAAGUUAGUGGGGUUAGGUAGUUUAUAAGUUUUAAAAGAACAGACAACAACUUACGUUAGUUCAUUCAUCAUAUUCAAACAACAGACAGUCAGAAAAACUUAAUAUCAGGGAAGAAGAAAGACAGAUGAGAGGGAAAGAUAUUGCUGAUUAAGGUAUGUUUGGGAAUUAUAUUUUCAUAAUUUGGGUACAAAAACCCUAAAUUAGAUAAGUUUUUUUUAUUUUUUUUAUUUAAAUUCGGCACUUUUCUGAUGACUUUCCUGUAGCAUGAUGGGUACCAAUGGAAAGGUCUUGAAAAGAUCUUUCCAAUGGUUUUUGUAGCAUCUUGUUUGGCCUUAUGGUUAGGAAUAUAUGAAUUUUUGAAGUUAAUUAGAAAUCUGGUUUUCAACAGUUUUGACAGCCCGACUUUGGGUCACCGGAACUCCAUNNNNNNUGGAUAUGUGAUUUCUACUGUAUUUUUAUGUUAAGAAGUAUGUAUUUUUAUAUUUUAUAAAUUUAUUUCUUAAAUUAUAGAUUUUAUUAAAAUAUCAAAAAUUUAUGAAAAAUUAUAAAUAUGAUUUUUUACAAGUGAAAUUAGUAUUAUUUCUCUAUCUGAAAUUUAAAGUCCUUACUGAUUUUAUGAUUUAAGUUUAAUUCUCAACCUUAUUGAAAAUUUUGUUUAAUUCAAAAAUAUAAAUAAUAAUAAUAUAUUACCUUAUUAACAAAAAAAAAAAAGUUCAUAAAUUGUAAUAGGAGUCGCUACACACCCUAAGUGCUUAGGAUGGUCAACGAAAAGUCGCCUUGUAGGAUCUGUUUGCAAAUUUAGUUCUGAUUUUUGUGUUUCUCGAAAUACUAGGCUACUAAGAGGAUUUUCGGAUUUGCUACUUGAAAGUAAAAUUUACGAGAUCAAGUAAGUGACUGAUAUCCCUUCGGUGUUUUCACACCUUAAAAAUUAGCUUCAAUCUGAAUUUGUACAUGAGAUAUAAUAUUUUGUCCUAUGAUUUAUUAAAAUUGGGUUGAGCAUGCAAAAUGUAUAUGUAUAUAAGUUUAUAUGUUAGAUUUAAAAUGUGAUUUAUGCAAAACGUGAUUUCUGAAUUGGAAAUUUGUUCAUGACUUGGUUUAAUGUAUACGUAUAUGUUUUUGCGAAUAUAAACAUAAAUGUUUAGUUUGAAACGAAUAUGCUUUUAAGGUGUAUGAGAUAUGCUUGAGAAAUUUGAUAUACUGUUUUAUGAUCUUUGGGUAAUCUAAAAAUAUAUAUUUCUGUUUUAUCUCCUAGUAUGGCUAUGCUCUAACCCUGCUAAUGUGGGUUAAAUGUUGGCCAUGUCGACAUGUAUUUUGUGAUUAGAGAUCGAUCUCCCAACCGCACCACCGAUUACAGAAUAGUGGUAUUUGUGAUAUUUGUUCAGUGCAGCCAAUGGUUGCUUUUUCUGACCCAUGCCACUGGGGUUAAUUGUGGUUCUAUUUCUGACCUAUGUCACAGGGGUUAAGUGUGGUCGUAGCAUGUUAUAGGAGACCAUUAAAAGUUAAAUAUUGUGAAUAUAUUUGUUCUGUUAUUUGAAUGCGCAAAUUUUGAAUUAUGUGAUUCCAAAUAAGAUUACCCAAUAUUUUGUCUUGGCAUUUGUAAAUGAUAUUUUGCCCUGAAUGUUUUAAGCAUGCUUAAUCUGGCUGAAUGGAUGUUAGUUAUUUGCUGAGUAGUUGGACUCACCCCUUCCUUCAAUUUUUUUUCAGGUUGUGAUUUGGUCAACCACGCGGGAACUUUGGGGAGUGAUGUUUAAUUUAGUAAGACUUAAAUUAUCUAGGAUUUAUUUAAAUAUUAUGAACAUCGUACUAUCUUAAUUAGUAUUCAGACUUUUAUCUUGACUUAGUAGCUUUAUGGUUUUGGAGAUUUAAUUUUGAAUAUUGUCGAAUUAUGAUAUUUGGAAAUUCUGUCAACAGAUAUAGUUUAUAAAUCACUAAAUUCUUCAGGUAUAUCAGUAUCUUUUAGUAAUAGUUUAAGAUAUAUAUUUUAGAGCCUUGCAUGUCUGUAGAAUUAUACUUUAUAGGUAUGCGACGUCUGUCAUGUCUCGGGUCUGAGGCGUGACAACCAUAUUUGGGAUUCUAAUCUGCUGCAAAUCAAUGGAGUCCAUGACCUCAUCCAGAAGCAGCAAAUACUUCUUAUGCUUCAUAUAUUCUGAUAUGAUCCUCGCAAGUUCACCAGAGCACGUAGCACGUUCCGCCUUCAGUUUAAGUCGCUGUGCAAUGUUCAGUUGCAGUUUCUCAUCAUUCCUCUCCCUUGAAACAUUUAUCUAAAUGACUAUAUCAAACAUUUUGGCAACUUCUUCGGGGUUGUUCAAGUUCUUCAUUAUUGUUGUUUUCCCAACUCCCACUGUGCCAAAAAUUCCGAUUCCUUUUAGUUUAUCGCUUCUUAGCAACUCCCGUAUUUCUUGUAAUGAUCUUCGAAGGGUAGGAAAUCCUUCAAGGUCUGGUGCAUUCAACUUCACAAUUUUUUCUGGAGGCUUAUCUACCAAAAAUCCUCUUUUAAAUGCUCCCUCUCUUUCACAAUUUUUUCGAAUUGUGCACCCAGCUUCAACUUAAACAAGGAGAGAGACGUAAGGGCGCUGGGCAACAACCAGGUAAUUUCUUUUGAAUUCAGGGGGUGGCCUUUUAUUUUUCAUCCAAGCAGUACUAGUAAAUAGGCAGAUAGUGGGCUUAAAUAUGGAGGAUGGACAAUUCAAAAAGGGCUAAUGUCUGAUUCCUCCAACCCAAAAAAUAAACCCAACAAAAACAAUAAGAAAAACCACUGGGCACCUCUGUUCGUUUGUUUUUUGUCAGAGUUGUCUAUGCUUUUUAGAAUAUUCUUCCCAUUGUUCAUGAUUAAAGUGAUAGGUCUUGGACAAAACUGUAUUUUUAGGAGUGCAGGAGCUAAAUGUGGAACCAUGGCAGUUUACAUGGGUGGAUCUGUUCUUGAAUAAAUUAUCUAAAGAAAUGCUGAAGGUCGAAGCCUCACCAACAUGGGAGAUAGUUUAUUUUCUCUGAGCAGGCAUUUGUAAGUGGUAUAUGCACCUUUAAUUUUCCCUGAUAUAAAACCUUUUAUUGGAUUUAGAGAGACACAUUUCCAACAGGAUAUCAUCACGCUAAGGGUUCAAUGCCAGAGCAUUGACAGGUAUUUCAAGAAUUAGUUGUUUGCUACAACCCCUGUCAAGUUUGAUUCAGAUUAUGUUGAAAUUGUCUUUGGCAAAUACCUAUAACUCCAUGCAGCAGUUGGAAAUAAAGAGCUUUUUCAUUAUUUUGUUUUCUCCUGCAAUCUCUGUUCUUUGAUUGAAAACUGAAAAUCUGUGAAGAUUUUUAACCAACUGCUUUAUUGAAAUUCUGGCAUAUUGAUUUUGUAUCCUGGGAGUAAAGCAACAAAUUUCAGGCAUAUGUUCAAAGUUUUUCUUUAUGCUACACUGAAAGGUAACUAGUACGAGGAAUUUCCAAAUCCAACGGCUUCUAACAUUUCAAGUCUACAACACCCAUUCAAUCAAAGCAGUGCAAAUCCUAUGUUGUUCUUAAUUGUUGUAAUUAUAGCUGUACAAAUUAGAAUAACCAAAAGCAACAUUCACCUUAGGCUGCAAAAGGAUUGAAUAUGGUCUCUAACCUCACUGUUUCGCCACUGCAAUGCUUCCCACCAUAUUUGUUCUCCCUCUAUUAACUUCAGCUUGGUCGAAAUGUCUUCGUUGAAAGGUAACGAUUUCAACUCGUGACAUCCAAAUAUCUUAAGGACCUUUAAAUACGGCCAUGCCAAUGGCUGUCCUGCGCAUAUAGUUCUUAAUUUCGGCAAGUCAAUUAGUUCCAAUAUCUCUAGGCUCGGAAGCUCAUAUGAAAAUGGUUCAACGCCCCAACAGUUCUCAAUCAAUUCUUCUACCUCGAAACAGCUUUCAAUUGCCAAUUUCUUGAGUUUGGAGACCUGUUGAAUCACUCCAUUAGACAGUAUCUUUCUCAACAUUGGGCAACUCUUCACCACAAUGGUAUGUAGCUUUGACAAGCUUUUGCCUGCAAUAGGGCCUUCAAAAACACUCUUCAGACAGAGCAAACUCCUUAAAUGUAACUGUUCCAGAAUUGGUAGAAUGUCUAUAACUCCUACCUUGUUGCCAUCUAAAAUAGUUGUCAUUUCAUUGCAUCUUUCAAUCAGACAACCACGAACAUGGUUCAGGCUGGCAACAUUCACGAAGUCUGAUAGACAUUUGAUGUUGUUAUGACUGACCAAUUCCAAUGCAUCAGUUUUAGGAAGGACAUCACGAAUUGUAGAAUCAUCAUUGCCAGGAUAGCAGUAUCUCAUAUAUCGAUUUACUUUGUACUCAAAGUAGUCAAGAAUUGGAGGAUUGUUCUUGUUUUCACAGCCAACAAAAAACCAAAAUGAAGUUAAUUGUUUGUGAUCCCUAUAUGAUCGCUUGUUUUCCAUUAACAUUUUGAGGAUCUCUGGUUGUGGAAAGCAUAUUCUGAGAGUAGUUAAAUUCUCCAAGGAAGCCACUUCCCGAAUGACUCUUGCAACAUCAACGCACCAAUGGCCAUAGGAGGUCACAUCAAUCAUCAGUUCCUCCAAUCUUAGAAGCCUUGAAAUCACAUUGUCAACAAUUUCCACAUCACGACAGUCUUCUGUAUUGCUGCAUUUAUGGUAUGACAUCCGCAAACACCUCAAAUAAACUAAUUUUCCAAUAAGUGGAGGUAUGAAUAUUAUCUUGCAGCCUCGAAUGUCAAGCACCUCAAGAAAACGAAGUUCUGCUACUUGGGUAGGCAACUUUGUUAUGCUGGGGCAAUCAUUUAAGAAAAGAGCCUUAAGUCUAGUCAAUGUUGAUACAGAUAAUGGCAGUGAUGCUAUUCCUGUCCUGUACAAGUCCAAAACUAUAAGCUUCUGCACGUUCUGGAAAAAUGAUAGUGGAAUAGUAGCUAAAUUAGGAUUUCUUUAUAGUAAUAGAGACAAAAGUUCCUCACAGUUUGGACUUUCUGGUAACUCAAGCAGUUUUCCUUCAAUCAUAGAGAUCCUUUUUGCCUGCUGCCAAUCUGUCGCAUUUUGAGGAUAAGGUGAAUGUUCACCUUUUAAAGCAAUGAAUUUGCAAUCAGGCUCUUGUGAGGAAAUGUAUAAGGCAACUUGUCGGACACUGUUGUUCACUUGAACAUAGAUCAUUCUCUCACCUUUCUCUAGCAAUGACACAUUGACUAGAUGCCCCAAUAUGUCAUAUCCUUCAUCUCGUGCAUCUCGAAAUCUUCUCCUGUCAUCAAUAGUCCCAAGGAAUCCUUCAGCCGCCCCAACACUCCACUAAAUGAUCAACAUAUAUCUUGCUACCAGCUGGAUAUAAUGCACCAUACAGAAAGCAUUUCUUUUUCUUCUCAUCCUUCAGCUCAUGAUAACAAAACUUAAGGAAUGCAUGCAUGUUUGUUAAGCCUUGAAUCUCAAUUUCUGGCCAUUUUUCAAGUUCUCUCAAUCCAUUCCUCCAUUCAGAAUCACUUUCCUUCAGUUUGAAGGAACUUGCCACUGUUCUGAUCACAAGUGGGAGUCGAUCACACUCUUCGGCUACUAGCCGAGCAACUGGUUCAACAUCAGGGAGAUCUAUUUUUUCAGCUGCUGUCUGUUGAAACAUCCUCCAUGCCUCAUCUGGAGAUAAUCGGUCCACUUUGACCAUUCUUUCUGUCAUUGAGGAACAAACAUGACGGAAUUCAGUAGUCAAUACCACUUUGCUACCAUUACCAUUAUCUGGGAUUCCAAUCUGCUGCAAAUCAAUGGAAUCCAUGACCUCAUCUAGAAGCAGCAAAUACUUCUUAUCCUUCAUAUGUUCUGAUAUGAUCCUCGCAAGGUCACCAGAGCAUGUAGCACUUUCCAUCUUAAGUUUAAGUCGCUGUGCAAUUUUCAGUUGCAGUUUCUCCUCAUUCAUCUCCCUUGAAACAUUUACCCAAAUGACUAUAUCAAACAUUUUGGCAACUUCUUCGUGGUUAUUCAAGUUCUUCAUUAUUGCUGUUUUCCCAACUCCCACUGUGCCAAAAAUUCCAAUUCCUUUUAGUUUAUCACUUCUUAGCAACUCUAGUGUUUCUUGCAAAGGUCUUUGAAGGGUAGGAAAUCCUUCAAGGUCUGGUGCAUUCAACCUUACAAUGGCUUCUGGAGGCUUAUCUACUAGAAAUCCUCCUUGAAAAUCUCCCUCUUCCACAAGUCUCUCAACUUCCUGGCGCAAAGUAAUGGCCUUGCCACUGUAAUCUGAUCGGCGCAUCAAAUGUGAAGAUCGUUCCUUAUCAUACUCAGCUCGUAAUCUUUCCACUUUUUCAAGAGUCUUCACAACGCUGCUGAGCUACGUUUGAUAGCAUCUGGUGGUUGUUUUUGUUCUAUUUUGUUCCACUAUCCUCUCAUUGUCGUCCCUUUUUGCCUGGAGCUUUUCUGCUGCAGUUAUCAUCAUGUCAAAAUUAUUAUCCAUAUUGUACGAUAAACCACGCUUCCCCAUAAAAUUGUUGUGUUUUGAUGGAUAUAUGAGAAGUAUGAAAGCACAGCAAGUGAAAAAGAGUUUUCUGGAGUAACAGAAGCUUAAUGUUUUUGAUAUGCAUUAACUUAGUUUUUAAUACAUAGCAAAGCUUAACUAGUAAGCUUAGAUCAGUAUAAGGCACAAGAAUACAUGCUAAUCAUUGCAUAAGUCUUUCACUAGAUGCAUAGCUAUCAUAAUAAGAUAGGAAUCUAGCUGUCUUAAUACAAAAUGAUCACAUAUGAUCCUAAGGUUAAUAGCAUGCACUGAUGUGGUUUUCAAUGCAAGUCCUAUUUCAACAAAAAUAGUUCCAUGCUUCCUUUGCCAAUUCGAUUGUGACUUCCAGCCCAUCGUUAGCCAUUAUAACUUCUACGCUGCAACUGGCAUUCCAAAUUGCAAAAAAAAAAAAAAAAAAGGAUCAGGUGUCUACUCUGCUCAUAUUUAUAUACUUUAGAGGGUAACUCAAAUUCCUGAAGUGGUCAGGCUAAGAUAAUUUGCAGCCAAAGUACUCUUGUUUCUUUAUAGCAAAAUUCUUCUUUUAUGUCUUUAUUCUUCCUAAACCCCAAACAAUGUCAGUUACUAUCUUCUUUAACCUCUUCCGAGUUCAAUUCAAAGCUUCAUGUAUAACCCUGAAAUCUUACCAAGAAAACAGAAGUAAAGAAAUCUCUCUCCAGAUUUAUUCCAACCCUCAGAAUCCAAUUAUAUUUCUUCCAAUAUAAGAAAAAGAUAUAUCAAAUUUCUUACCUUUUAUUUGCGGUCGAAGACAAAGAAACUUCCACGACAUGCCCAGCAGUUCCUGGUAGCUUUUUCUACACCUCGGCUGUAUCUCUUCCAUGCACUGAAAUUCCAACUGGAAAACAAGAACACAAACGUGAUAAUGGCUACCUGAUGAGAUAUACAAUUAGAAAUUGACUAUGUUCAUUUGAAUUCAGAGUUUUAAAGUACUUUUACUAAAGAGAAAGAUCGAGCUAAGGUUCAAAAAUUAAAAAAAAAAACAAUCAAUCAACUUGGAUUGAGGUGAUUAAAGAUUCUCUUAACAUUCGGGAUGUUCCAUCUUCCCUACUAGAUGGUGACAGCCCCAUUUUCUCUUUGUGGUAAGCUUCAACUAGUAGUUGCCUUGGUAACUCUAUUUCUAAGAAAAUAUAAAUAUAAUUUCUACUUUUGUUUCUUCAAUAAUUUAAAAAGUUGAAAAUCAUAACUUUGUGAGUCUCGCGUCCCCUUGUCUGCUUCCCAUUGAUUAAGGAAAACCCUUAGGCUUAACGCCGAUGGUUCAACUACCUGCUCCUGUCGAAAUCCUUGGGACCCCUUCAAGUCUGGGACAGGUGACAAGGUGACAGCUGGGAGAUGGAGAGAAAACAGUGCAUACCAGCCUUCUCACAUGAAGUUUGAAAGCUUUGAACAAGCCUGCUGGAGUGGUGGAGGCCGUGGCAGAGAGGCUGAGUAUGAGAUGAGAAAAACAGGGGAGUUGCUGCUCAGCAUUUAAUAGGUUGGUCUAAGCUUGUUUCGCACAAGACUUCUCUCCCGCUGAUACAGAUACAUAUGCAAGCCAGGUACUCGAAUUCCUUACACUAAGCAAUUUGUUUGCAUGAUUUUUUUUUUAUUAAAAAAAAUAGCCCAUAAACCAAGUUGAUCCUUGUGGAAGCACUUCAAGAAUAAAAUUUUGAAUGCACUAAGUCGACGUUAGAGAAUGUGCCUUUAAGGUUGUCUGGGCAAGAUUGUAUCAUUAAUGCAUGCUCAUCAUCUUACCUUGCGUAUUAUUAUUAUUAUUAUUAUUUGAUAGCUAAUUCUCGACUCUUAGUUCAUAUUGCUACAUGCUUUCAGCUUCGAAUUCAUUAAUUUUCCAUCCUCAGAUAACAAUGUCCCGCUGCUUUUGUCUUGUAUUCAAUCACAUUUGGUGGACGACACCUCAUCUCCCAUUGUCUAGACUUUAUGGUACUACAUCUUACGUCUUUCUCUUUCUCUCUUUUUUUCUUUUUUCGAUAGAGAAAUGGAGAGCUGGGAACAUAAGAAUCUUAGAAAUUAGCUAAUACGAGGAAUGAAGCUAGCAAGGAAGCUUCAAGCGUAUCUCAAAGCUUCCAAAGAAGCUUGUGAAUUACAGAAACAGAUUCUAUCCUCCCAAGGAAAGGCAUUUUCAAUUAUUAACUGCAGCACCUCCUCCACGGCAGCCAAGCCAAAGUACAUAGCUCACAGCUCGCCUACUCGUAAGGGAAGUUGCCGGAGUGAGGACUCUGACCAUGAUUUCAAGGAGCAGUACUAUGGAAGGCACACUUGCAAUAUAGCCUCAGAUGUGAUGCCUUCAAGACUACCCAAAAUACUAGCUGUACAGAACCUACUCUUUAUCAUUUUCUGUUUAGAUUAGGGUCUUUUUUAUAGAUAGAUUAAAGUAAUUUACAUACUGAUAUUAUAGUGAAAUAAGUAUUUUUCAUGUAUAUUUGCAGCCUUCGGAUACUGUAGGUGAUGUAGAUGGAUAUGAUAAACAGGAUUCAAAAUCUAGUCUUCAGUCAAGCGUAAACAAUCCUGUUGAUCAAACUUGCAUUUCAUCAACCGAGGUGACGAGUGAGCUUCCAAAUUCAGAGCUCAACCAGAAUGAGUUCCCAAACCCAUCAUAUACGUCACCUCUAACAAUCCUUUAUGAGUAUCAAGUGAGGAAGAACUGCAAGGUGCUGAACAGGAAGAAGGAUGUGCUACUCCUACUUUCAUGUUAUCCUAUGAUUAUGAUUGACAAAUUUGACUCAAAGAAAUGGAUUACAGAUGUAUGGCAUUCAUGAGAGAUGCAAAAUCAACAGAAAAGAUUUUAUACGGUGAAGAGGUAGCGGAAGAUUGGCCAUUAAUAAUGAGGCUACAUGAACUUUCUGUACGCUUGCAGAAGCUGCUCGAUGUUCCCUUGACGAAUAAUAUUGAGCGAGUUUUACCAGGGGACAUAGUUGAGAAUCUAUAUAGGCCAACAGAAGCUGAUUUAAGACCCUUGUUGGAGGUGGAACAGAAUAUAAUUGCCGGAAAGACAUCAAAAUCUAGAGGUUCACCAAGUCACAGUGAAGGGGCAGCAAUGGAAACUGAAAAUGAAUUGCAGCCAAUGCCUGCAAGAUGUAAAACUCAGGUAGAAGAUACUGAGUUGUCAACCAAAGAAACACUGUAUGUACCCGAAGAAAUAUUGGAUUUGGCCGUUGAUUUAGCUAUUCAUUAGAUCUUAAGAUGUAUAAACAGAGGAGAUAUCAGGUGUAUUACAAUCAGUGGAAGAAAUAAAAAAAGGGUGUUAGAAGCAAUAAAGCAACACUGAGAAAUAGGUUCCACGUUUGGAUAUAUCAUUGUUUUCACUGUGUCAGAUAAUCAAAAUGGGGCAAAGGUUCACGGUGUCUUUCACCUGCAGAAGGGGUUUUGGCUAGGUGGAUGCUCUGAUGCUGUUGGCCUUACACCUGAAUAUUCUGACCACUUGUGCUCCCUAGGAAACUUAUUGCUUACGGAAGAUGAUUAUGAUGAGAACAUGAACCUGGAUCACUUUACACUCCCAUUUUUGAUAACUGGUUGACCAUAAACAUAGUGAUUCAAGGUUCAUAAUCUUUACUUCUAAAAUGGCAGUAGACAUGGAGAUUAGAAUGGAGGAUCAUUUGUUUUCGUGGAAAUUGUUUCAUAGGAUUGUGGGUGAAGUUUCGCUUUCCCCUAGUAUCCAACAGAUGGCAGCAUGUAUGGUGAAAGAGUGCCGUGGCAAUCUACUUGCCAUCCUUCUAAUGGCCAGUUCCUUGAAGAAAGUUACUGACGAUGUCAAAUUGUGGGAACUUGCUGUUCAAAGAUUGACCAUGCUACCUCCAUCUCGAUAGAAGAUAUAGAAAAUGUGGUUAACGCAUUAACAUUCGUUUGGGAUCAUAUGAACAAGAAAACAAGACAUUGCAUUGAGUUUUAUAUACUGUAUCACAAGGGAAAGAAAAUCAACAGAUUCGAACUAAUACAAUGUUGGGUCAAGGAAAAUGUGGUUGGUACCUAUGAUGAAGGAGACCGCAUUCUCCAAAGUCUUAUUGAUAUAUUCCUGCUUAAUUAUUUUGUGGUGUUAAAUUGUGUCGAACUGCAAGGAGAGAUCUAUGACGUAUUAGUGAACCUAGUUAUUCCCCAAUCCCAAAUGCAUCCAUUAUGUCUUAUGAAAGGAGGGUUGAGAUUGAUUAAACCACCAAAAGAAGAGUUAUGGUGGGAUGCCAAAGAGAUCCAUUUGAUGGAUAAUAAAUUAUCUGACCUACCAGAAUCUCCAACGUGCCCCUCACUAUUUAAACUGUACCUUCAGAAGAACUUGGAUCUGAUGGCUAUCCCAUCUUGUUUCUUCAAGCACAUGCCUCUCCUUGAAAUUCUAGACUUAUCACACACCAGUAUCAAAUCUUUGCCAGAGUCGCUUUCUAGUUUGGUUAAACUUCGAGAAUUCCUUUUGAAAGGCUGUGAACUCUUCACACAACUCCCUAGUCAUGUUGGAGAACUGAAGAAUCUUGAGAAGCUUGACCUUGAUGGAACUCAGAUUAUAGAUCUCCCAGCAGAGAUUGGACAUCUUUCCAAAUUAAAAAUUUUGAGGGUCUCAUUCUAUGGAUAUAUGAACUGCAGCAAAACAAUGUUGCGGCGAGAUACAAUAAUUCCCCAUGGAACAAUAUCAGGUUUUUUUGAAUUAACUGAAUUAAGCAUUGAAGUUGAUCCGGACGAUGAACGCUGGCAUGCAACUGUGAAAGCUAUUAUUGAGGAAGCUUGCAACCUGAAAACUUUAAGACAGCUUAAUUUGUACUUGCCAAACAUCGAAAUAUUGUGGAAAUGCAGAACACGUAGCACAUCAUUGCUCCAUUACCCCUUGCCACGUUUCAGAUUUACUGUCGGUUAUCACAAACAACAGGUUGUAUCUCGAGUACCAGAAGAAGUUGAAGCUCACUUCGAUAAGGGUGACAAAUGCUUGAAGUUUGUCAAAGGCAAGGAUAUCCCAGCUGAAAUGAGAAUGGCACUCAACCACAGCACAGCUUUUUUCCUGGAAGGUCAUGCUACCGCUACUAGUUUGUCUGAUUUUGGAAUUGAAAAUUCAAGGCAGUUAAAAUUUUGUUUACUGACAGAAUGUAAUGAAGUGCAAACCAUAAUUGAUUGUGCAGAGUUUCCUGAAGAACAAACUGAUGCACUUGGAAAUCUACAAGACUUGAAUAUAUAUUACAUGAAGAAUUUGAGGAGCAUUUGGAGGGGAACUGUUCAUAAGAACUGGUUAGCUAGCCUGAAGUUCCUUGCACUUCAUAAAUGCCCCAGAUUGAGUACCAUUUUUACACCAGAUCGGAUUGCUAAUCUUGCCAGUUCAGAAGAGGUUAUCGUUGAACACCGCCCUCAACUGACUAGUCUAGCGAGCCUAAUAGGUCGUGCGUCUUGUAACUCAGCACCACAACCAAAUUGUUUUCUUCCAAGCUUGAAAAGAAUAUCACUGCUUUACGUACGAAAACUUAUUAGCAUCUCUAGUGGUUUGCACAUUGCUCCAAAACUGGAAAAAGUAGGAUUCUACAAUUGCCUGAAGCUUAAGAGUCUUUCUACGAUGGAAAUGUCAAGUGAAAAUUUGAAGGUGAUCAAAGGAGAAAGACACUGGUGGGAAGCAUUGGAGUGGAAGAACUCGGAGUGGGGGAACCGGCUAGAUUAUCUGCAUAGUAUCUUUUCCCCACUUAUUAAGGAGAGAGAAGUGAAGGCGCAAUUGAGAGAAGAGAGAAUUAUGCUCCAUGCUUCAACUUAAACAAGGAGAGAGAUGUAAGAGCACUGGGCAACCGCAAGGUAAUUUUCUUUUGAAUUAAGAGGGUGUCCUUUUAUUUGUCAUCCAAGUUGUACUAGUAAAUAAGCAGAUAAUGGGGUUAAAAAUGGAAGAUGAACAAUUCACGAAGUGCUAACAUCUGAUUCCCCUCACCCCCACAAAAAAAAAAAACAUCAACAAAAACAAUAAGAAGAACCAUUGGGCACUUCUGUUCUUAUGUUUUUUUGUCAGAUUUCUCGAUGGUUUUCAGACUAUACUUCCCACUGUUCAUGAUUUAAGUGAUUGGUCUUGGACAAACUGUAUUUCCAAGAGCCCAGGAGCUAAAUGUGGAACUAUGACUGGAACAGGUUGUAUGAUUGUGUCUCAGUAUGCUUUGUUUAUGUUCGUUUGUGAUGUCUGGAACAGGUUGGUUCUGGUUGAUGGUUUGCUUUAAUGAUGGCUGUUGAGGGCAUGAUAGGAGUCUUUGCUUCUGGAAUUCUGUGUGUACAGUCUGGCAUGGGAUUGGCUCUGUUAUUUUUGGUUAGGGCCAGUUUUGUUUUCUGUCUUUGUAGUCUCUAAGCUAUGGGAAUUUUGUGAAAGAUGCUUGCAGAAGUGUACAUAGGGGACAGGAUAAGGCCUGUGAGAGGAUUUUGGUAUGUUAUACUCGAGUGGAAGUGUAACAGGUCAAAAUCUUGUACCUAUCAGAAGGUGAACAAUGGUUCCCUCUUUUUCCAAUGAAUUCAUGACUUAUCAAAAAGAAAAUGUGGAAGAAAAUCAGAUAAUUUAGAGGGGAGCUCAAAUUCAUGAAGUGGUCAGGCAAAGAUAAUUUGCAGCCAAAGUACUCCCGUUUCUUUAUAGCAAUAUUAAAAUAUUUACUUGAACCAAAAAAUGAAAAUCGGAUGCAAGUUGAACACCGGCAAUAGUUAAAACCCCAAGUAAGGUCAGUGCUAAUACCCUCUUCCGAGGAGAGCUCAAGGCUUCAUGUAUAAACCUGAAACCUUACCAGGAAAACAGAUCCAGAUAUAUUCCAACCCUCACAAUCCAAUUAUAUUUGUUCCAACAUUAGAAAAAAGAUAUAUCGAAUUUCAUACCUUUUAUUUGCUGUCGGUCGACUGUUGCUAGCUGAAAACAAUAACAGUCUUGCCUAUGCAAUAUGUAAAUAUGCUCAAAUUGAUUGUAAAUUACUAGCAAAUAACUCGUGUAAGUGUACACGGUCGUGACAAGUAGUAAGUAAUGAGUAGGAUGUCGAAUCUCGAAGAGUUGGUAUAAUGAUUGCUGUUAAUUACCAAAAUUGACACAAGCUAACCUUAUCCAAAGAAUUAAUUUUGAACUAAGAUUAAAUAGAAAAUGUAAAAUAAUUAACUAGAAUCUACUUUAAGUGAUGCAAUUAAUAAAUGAAAAUGGUAUCAAUGGUCUAUUAAUCUAGGAUUAUGGUGUCCUCUAUUACUUCAAUUAGAAUUGGCCUUGGUUAGUUAUUUAAUCUUAAUGGAAUUUGAUAUUAGUCUAGGAUCUUAAGUUAUGUGUAAUCCUCUAUCAAGGUAUUGCACACUUGCCUAAUCUAUUUGCCUCCUUAUAUGUUUAUAAGAAACAAAUAAUUUAAGCUCUUUAAGUUAAAGAAGUCCUUAAUAACUAAGUGUGGCAAUUAGUUGUGUUUCCACCCUAACUACACAUCAAAGCACCAACAUUCAUUUUUAAUGUUUUGAACACACUCUACUCAAGCCUAAGUCCAAUUUAGAUUAACUUUUUCAAGUUUCAUCCAAAUACUCAAACUCAAUUAAUUGGUGAUCAAUCAAUUAAAUGAACAAAAGAUUUCAACUUGAAUAAACAUCAAGAUUUGCAUUAAGAAUAAACAAUCAACCAACCAAUAUCCCAACUAAUUAAUAAAGUGAACCAUAAUCCUAGGUAAAUGGGUUUUGCUCAACAUUUCAAAUAAAUAGAGUACACGAUACAGCAGAAAGAGCAUAAUUUUACAAAAUGAGAGAGAGAGAAAGCUUCAAAUCUAGAGAGAGAGAGCAAAACAGUCUGUUGCAGCUUUAGAAUCUCCUCCCCUUUGAAUCUUCCUUAUUUUCCCGUUUUGUUGCAGCUCCUCUUGCCAAAAAUGUCUCCUCCCCAAUCUCCUCUUUUUCUGUGCCAAAGGAUCUAUUUAUAGUCCCCUCAUUCACCCUUUACCUAGGUUUUCGAGACAGAAUAUUCCCCUUUCUGAAGCUUUCUCGCUGUAGUGAGUUUGGAUUCUCGCUGCAGCAAGCUUAGCUGACCUGGCAUCUGCAAAGCUCGCAUUUCUCGCUGUAACGAGUUUGGAUUCUCGUUGCAACGAGAAUCUUUCUGCUUCCUUAUGUUCUGUUCUCGCUGCAACGAGAAACUCUCUGUCUGGACAAUUUGUUGCUGCAGCCUUGAGCCCUUUGCCACCAUGCUCUCCUCCUUUGAGCCACCAAAUGCAGGGUUGAUGAGGUCCAUUCUUCAGCUUUACUUUCUACCACCAUUCUUUCAAAAAAUCAAAACGAGAUUAAAAAUAGCAUAAAAGGGAUUUUUGACAAAACAGAUAGAGUUCAAAUUGACUAAAUGACACUAGACACAGUAAAAACUUGACUCCUACUAAAAAGUAUGAAAAUUUGCUAAGAACUAUGCUAAAAAUUAAAAGAAUAAGUAUAAUUCAUGCUCCCAAAAUUGUAUGAUAACUCUAUGUAAUCGACUUCAAGUCAUGAAAAGUGUUUCAUGCUACAAUCUGUGGGUCGAAGACAAGGAAACUUCCACCAUGUCCAAGCAGUUCCUAGUAGCUUAUUUUCUUCAUCCCGGCUGGUAAACAUCCUCCAUGCACUGAAAUUCCAACUGGGUAAAAAAGCAUUUUUAUUGAUUUUACUUGAGAGUUUCAAACUAGUUGAACGAAAGAAGAAAAAUCUAGCUAAGGUUCAAAGAGAAAAAGACACAAUCAAUCAACUUUGAUUGAAACGACAAGUACAAAAAAUACUUGUCCUUGUACUGUCCCGAAACAUUCUCUAAAGCACCCGACAAAGAUUUAUGUUUCAAACUAUAUUUUGAUGAGUUGUGUAAUCUACUAAGAGAAAACGUACAUAUGUCUACUCGCCGAUGAGUGACCGUUGACUCAGGAGAUGCAAGAGAUUUUUUGGCUCUGAUCUGGGAAAUCCAGCAAACGACAUCCGAAGCAAACUUCGUGAGUUAUGAAGAUCUAAACCUGGAAUUACAUGAUGCAAGUCAACAUUUCUGUAAACUCUAGAAGUAAAGAUGUUGCUUAAUUAUUAGCAAUAUUUUAAACAUAUUUCUUUAUCGAAUUACCAGUAGAAGUAAAAGAAAAAGAAGCAUGCUAGAUUUGGAAGGGACUUAGUGUGAAAAGGAGGAAUGAAAAUUUUGCUUUAGAAAAAGCACCUAGCCAAGAACUUUGCUUUGAAUGUCAAUAAAAUCCACUAAAUGAAUCUCAUGACCCAAACUUUUCACACAUCUUUAGAAGUAGUUAGAUUAUAAAUACAAAUGUGUAUCCAAUCUUGCUAUAUAGAAUGGAAAAACGUGUCGUUCACGUAUUAUUAGAAUGUGAUAACUAGUCAAUAAUUGUGUACUUUAAUGGAUCUCUACCUCACUCCCCUUUCCCACAUGUACCCCUAAAGAAUAACAUAACAUGAUCAUUGAGCUGGACCCCAAUGAUUGGCACACCCCCUUAGGAGUUUUGAACACCUGGUAGAUUAAAAGUAAAAUGAAAACAAAGAAAACAGUGCAUAUAGUGCAAAAGAUAUCAUGGAGCAGAUCUUGCGAAGCAAGUAACAGUUUAGCCACGGUAAGCAGGAUGAGAGCCUUUUUGUUGCGCUGACUUUUGUGUGAAUAGGGAUAGGGAGAGUUUUUGACUUCUGUGCAGAUCCUGUUAUGAGCUGGUUAGGGCGAUUUAGCACUGUUAAUCUCAACUGUGUCUAACAGGGCUAAAUCUUCCUUGUAGGCUCCUCAGAGGGGAACGUUUGCUUUCCUCUGUUUUAUUAAUACCCAUUGAAUAUUCAAAAAAAAAAAAGGUCUCACUUUGAAAUUCAUUCAGCUCUAAGUUGCUAGGUUUGGAAAAGAGCUACAUUCUGAGACCGGGUAACGAUAUGGCAGACAGCCUAGCCAAGGAUGGGGUGGGAAGAGUAGGUGAUCUGUUACGUAUUUAUCCUUAAUGAUGCUGCUUUAUAUGCUGUGAGCUGGCAGGUUCUUUUUUCUGCUCCUUUUGCUUUUAUCUCUAUGAUGUUGAGGAAUUUGAAGCUCCUGGUGAGUUUCCUUCCAUGUGUUCUGUAAAGGUGCUGUUUUUGCUCUUGUGAUCCUAGGCUAGAAAUCAGAUUUAUGCCAGUAAGGAAGGGAAACGGAAAGUCUGUUGUUUCCACUACUUACUGGUAUUCGACCUGAGAUAUUUGGAUUCUUGAUACUUUAUAGGAAAGCUUCUUUCGUAUAGAGCUCUUUGUAAUGGCCGUUUUUUGCAAGCCAGCUCGGCAUCUGACCAUAACACAAAGCCAGAGCCUUUUGUAAGUUCAGGGAUUCCCUGCUUGAUCAAUGAAACUACUCAUUACUUAUUCAAAAGACAAAAGUCUCACUUUGAAGUUUGAAAGCUUCUAACAAGCCUGUUGUAAGGUGGAGUCCGUGGCAGAUAGGCUGAGGACAAACUUUUUCCUGGUAAUUCUUUCAUUUUCCAACCCUUAGUUCAUAUUGCUACAUGCUUUCCAGCUUCAAAUUCAUUAAUUAUCUGUCCUCAGAUACCAAUGUCCCUGCUGGUUUUUGGCUUGUAUUCAAUCACACUUGCUGGACCAAAAACCUUUAUUUAUUAUUAUUAGUUUUUUUCCAUAGAGAAAUGGAGAGCUUGGUACAGAAGAAUCUUAGAAAGGAACUAAAACGAGGAAUGGAGCUAGCAAGGAAGCUCCAACUGCAUCUCAAAGCUUCAAAAGAAGCUCGUGAACUACACCGACAGAUUCUAUCUUCACAAGGAAAGGCACUUUCAAUGCUUAACCGCAGGACCUUCUCUAUGACCAAGCCACAUUCCAUAGCUCACAGCCCGUCUGCUCACAAUGGAAGUCCCCAUAGUGACGGCUUUGAUCUUGAUUUCCAGCAGCAAGAGUUCAAAGUCAAGGAUGCCUCCAUGAAAAGGUACACAAUAGACGUAUGGGAAAUUUAUGAUGUACAUAAAAUGGAAAACUAAACCAAUUGAUGCUUUACUGCAGUGAGACAGCCGAAUCAAAGUCAACAAUAGUUGCAUCGGAAGUGUCUAAAUCCCCAUCUUUUCUUUGUGGAAGCGUCCAGAGUAAGGACUCUGACUACGAUUUCAAGGACAGAGAACUCAAAGUCAAUGAGGUCUCCACCAAAAGGUAUACAUAAGGGCAUAUGAGCAAUUUAUAAUGAUACAAGGCCAACUAAUCCACAAAAGAGAAAAAGACUUUACAUUGAACAAAACAAUUUUCAUGUUGCAGGAAGACAAUGUCGAGCUGGACAGAAUUGGUCCCAUCGGAUACGGACCUAGGGCUAGGGGAACCCCUUCCUGAUGGUUACAAUUGGAGGAAACAUGGACAGACAGAUAUUGUUGGAGCAAGAUAUCCAAGGUAGGGAAACUUUCCUCUUUUAGUCCAUGUUAUUAUCAUUAUGAGCAUUGCUGACUGCAUGGUAGUGCAGUACCCUGAUGCCUAACCAAUGGCACGAUUUAAUUGAAUCUAUGUUCUUCUCGAUUUAAUAUAGAACAACUGGGCUUAGACAUUUGUGGAUAUUUGAUAAUAACUCCCAUUUGCACCCCAAAGACAUGUCAUGUAAUGAUUUUCUAGAUUCACCGAGCUAUAAACAUGAAAUAACCUCUCUUUUCUUUCUUACAGAACGUACUACAGGUGCGCACAUCUACUUACUGUAGGCUGUUUGGCUACAAAGCAAGUCCAAAGAGUAGAUGAAAAUCCAAUGAUCUUCAGUGUUACUUACUCUGGAAAGCACACUUGCAAUCUGGCCUCCGAUGUGAUGCCUCCAAGACCACCCCAAAUACUAGCUGUACAGAACCUACUCUUUUGUCAUUUUCCAUUUAGAUUAGGGUCUUUUUUAUAGACAGAUUAAAUUAAUUUGGAUACCGAUAUUCAAGUGAAAUAAGUAUUUUUCACCUAUAUUUGCAGCAUACGGAUACUGCAUGUGGCGUAGAUGGAAAUGACAAACAAGAUUCAAAAUCUAAUCUUCAGUCAAGUGUAUACAAUCCUCACGAUCAAACUUGCAUUUCAUCAACAGAGCUGAUGAGUGAGCUUCCAACUUUUGGCCUCAACCUGAAUGUGUUUCCCGAGGAAUCAUCUGAGUCAUAUCCAGUGUGGAAAGACUUUCAUGGAUAUCAAGUGAGAAAGAACUGGAAGUUGCUGAACAGGAAGAAGGAUGUGCUACUUCUACUUUCAUCUUAUCCUAUGAUUAUGAUUGACAAAUUUGACUCAGAGAAAUGGAUUACCGAUGUACUGGCAAUCAUGAGAGAUGCAAAAUCAACAGAAAAGAUGUUAUUUGGUGAAAAGGUAGCGGAAUAUUGGGACGUAAUAAUGAGGCUACAUGACCUUUCAGGAAGCUUGCAAAAGUUGCUGAAUGUUCCCUUGAUGAAUGAUAUCGAGGGAGUUUUACCAGGAGACAUAGUCGAGAACCUUUAUAGGCCUGCAGAUGCUGAUUCAAGACCCCUGUUGGAAGUGGAAAAAAUUAUAAUUAGUGGAAAGACAUCAAAAUCUAGAGGUUCACCAAGUCACAGUGAAGGGGCAGCAAUAGAAGCUGAAAAUGAAUUGCAGCCAAUGCCUGCAAGAUGUAAAAUUCAAAUAGAAGAGACUGAGUUGUCAGCCAAAGAAACUGUACCAGAAGAAAUAUUUGACUCUGCAGUUGAUUUAGCUGUUUGUCAGAUCUUAAAAUGUAUAAGCAGAGGAGAUAUCAGGUGCAUUACAAUCAGUGGAAGAGAUAAGAAAAGGGUGAUAGAAGCAAUAAAGCACCACCAAAAUAUAGGUUCCAAGUUUGGAUAUAUCAUUGAAUUUACUGUGGCUGAACAUCAAAUUGUGGCAAAGGUUCAUGGGGUCUUUCACUUACAGAAGGGUUUCUGUCUAGGUAAAUACUCUGAUUCUGUUGAAUAUUCUGACAACUUGUGCUCCCCAGGAAUCUUGUUGCUAAUGGAGGAUGAUUAUAAUAAGAACAUGAACCUCGAUCACUCUACACUCCCAUUUUCGAUAAACAUUAACAAGCUGCUUGACCAGAUACAUAGUGAUUCAAGGUUCAUAAUCUUUACUUCUAAAAUAGCAGCAGACAUGGAGAUCAGAAUGGAGGAUCAUUUGUUGUCGUGGAAAUUGUUUUUUAGGAUUGUGGGUGAAGGUUUCCUUUCUCCUAGUAUCCAACAGAUAGCAGCAUGUAUGGUGAAAGAGUGCCGUGGCAAUCUACUUGCCAUCAUUCUAAUGGCCAGGUCCUUGAAGAAAGUUACUGAUGAUGUCCAAUUGUGGGAACUUGCUGCUCAAAGAUUGACCAUGCUACCUCCAUCUCAGAUAGAAGAUAUAGAUAAUGUCCUGGUUAACACAUUAACAUUCAUUUGGGAACGUAUGAACAAUAAAACAAGACAUUGCAUUAAGCUUUUUACAAGGUAUCCCGAGGGACUGGCAAUCCACAGAAGCUCAGUAAUACAACGUUGGAUCUGGGAUUCUCUGGUUGAUACCUAUGAUGAAGGAACCCAUAUUCUCCAAAGUCUUGUUGAUGCAUUCUUGCUUAAUAUUGUGGAGUUAAAUUGUGUCCAACUGCGAAGAGAGAUCUAUGAUGUAUUAGUAAAGCUACUAAUUCCCCAAAUGCAUCCAUUAUAUCUUAUGCAAGGCGGGUUGAGAUUGAUUAAACCACCAAAAGAAGAGGAAUGGGAUGCCAAAGAGAUCCAUUUGAUGGAUAAUAAAUUAUAUGACCUACCAGAAUCUCCAAAGUGCCCCUCACUAUUUGCAUUGUACCUUCAGAAGAACUUGGAUCUGAUGGCUGUCCCUUCUUGUUUCUUCACGCACAUGCCUCUGCUUCAAAUCCUAGACUUAUCACAUACCAGUAUCAAAUCUUUGCCAGAGUCACUUUCUAGUUUGGUUAAACUUCGAGAACUCCUUUUGAAAGGCUGUGAACUCUUCAUACAACUCCCUAGCCAUGUUGGAAAACUGAAGAAUCUUGAGAAGCUGGACCUUGAUGAAACUCAGAUUAUAGAUCUCCCGGUAGAAAUAGGACAUCUUUCAAAAUUAAAAAUUUUGAGGGUCUCAUUCUACGGAUACGUGAACUGCAGCAAAACAUGGUCGCAGAGAGAUACUAUAAUUCACCCUGGAAUUAUAUCGGGUCUCUCUGAACUAAUUGAAUUAAGCAUUGAUGUUGAUCCAGAUGAUGAACGUUGGAAUGCAACUGUGAAAGCUGUUAUUGAGGAAGCUUGCAACCUGAAAACUUUAAGACAGCUUAAUUUGUACCUGCCAAGCAUUGAAAUUUUGUGGAAACGCAGAACAGGUAGCACAUCAUUGCUCCGUUACCCCUUGCCACGUUUCAGAUUUA